rnacentral:rRNA from 1 species
UACGGAGGAUCCAAGCGUUAUCCGGAUUUAUUGGGUUUAAAGGGUGCGUAGGCGGCCUAUUAAGUCAGGGGUGAAAGACGGUAGCUUAACUAUCGCAGUGCCUUUGAUACUGAUGGGCUUGAAUGAACUAGAGGUAGGCGGAAUGUGACAAGUAGCGGUGAAAUGCAUAGAUAUGUCACAGAACACCAAUUGCGAAGGCAGCUUACUAUGGUUUUAUUGACACUGAGGCACGAAAGCGUGGGGAUCAAACAGG